rnacentral:rRNA from 1 species
UACGUAGGUGACCAGCGUUGUCCGGAUUUACUGGGCGUAAAGGGCUCGUAGGCGGCCAACUAAGUCAUACGUGAAAUCCCUCAGCUUAACUGGGGAACUGCGUCCGAUACUGGAUGGCUUGAGUUUGGGAGAGGGAUGCGGAAUUCCAGGUGUAGCGGUGAAAUGCGUAGAUAUCUGGAGGAACACCGGUGGCGAAGGCGGCAUCCUGGACCAACACUGACACUGAGGAGCGAAAGCCAGGGGAGCAAACGGG